rnacentral:lncRNA from 1 species
AGUUAUUGGAAGACAGCUAAUUCAGGAGAUGUACAACAAAACUUUGGGAAAUUGAACUGCACCAUCAUAGCUGAAAAUGACUAACUGGAGCAUGGAAUAAGAGCUGCCACCACCAUCACAACACCAACACUACACCACCACCAUGUCAUCACCACUGAUACCUCCACCUUGACUCUAUCACCAGUGGCAGCAACAACAUUACCACCUAUGGCAAGAUGAGUAACAACUAAACCCAUGAGAAAUUAACAACUGGAUCAUGGAAACACUGCUGUUACAGGUAUGUCUGUCUGUCUGUCUAACUAACUGUCAA